UACGUAGGUGGCAAGCGUUGUCCGGAUUUACUGGGUGUAAAGGGCGUGCAGCCGGGAGUGCAAGUCAGAUGUGAAAUCCCGCGGCUCAACCGCGGAACUGCAUUUGAAACUGUGCUUCUUGAGUGCUGGAGAGGCAGACGGAAUUCCUAGUGUAGCGGUGAAAUGCGUAGAUAUAAGGAAGAACACCAGUGGCGAAGGCGGAUGACUGGACGGCAACUGACGGUGAGGCGCGAAAGCGUGGGGAGCAAACAGG
rnacentral:rRNA from 1 species